GUUAAGCGACUAAGCGUACACGGUGGAUGCCCUGGCAGUCAGAGGCGAUGAAGGGCGUGCUAAUCUGCGAUAAGCGCCGGUAAGGUGAUAUGAACCGUUAUAACCGGCGAUACCCGAAUGGGGAAACCCAGUGUGAUUGGUCACACUAUCAUUAACUGAAUCCAUAGGUUAAUGAGGCGAACCGGGGGAACUGAAACAUCUAAGUACCCCGAGGAAAAGAAAUCAACCGAGAUUCCCCCAGUAGCGGCGAGCGAACGGGGAGGAGCCCAGAGCCUGAAUCAGCAUGUGUGUUAGUGGAAGCGUCUGGAAAGGCGCGCGAUACAGGGUGACAGCCCCGUACACAAAAGCGCAUGUGCUGUGAGCUCGAUGAGUAGGGCGGGACACGUGGUAUCCUGUCUGAAUAUGGGGGGACCAUCCUCCAAGGCUAAAUACUCCUGACUGACCGAUAGUGAACCAGUACCGUGAGGGAAAGGCGAAAAGAACCCCGGCGAGGGGAGUGAAAAAGAACCUGAAACCGUGUACGUACAAGCAGUGGGAGCACCCUUCGGGGUGUGACUGCGUACCUUUUGUAUAAUGGGUCAGCGACUUAUAUUCUGUAGCAAGGUUAACCGUAUAGGGGAGCCGGAGGGAAACCGAGUCUUAACCGGGCGUUAAGUUGCAGGGUAUAGACCCGAAACCCGGUGAUCUAGCCAUGGGCAGGUUGAAGGUUGGGUAACACUAACUGGAGGACCGAACCGACUAAUGUUGAAAAAUUAGCGGAUGACCUGUGGCUGGGGGUGAAAGGCCAAUCAAACCGGGAGAUAGCUGGUUCUCCCCGAAAGCUAUUUAGGUAGCGCCUCGUGAAUUCAUCUCCGGGGGUAGAGCACUGUUUCGGCUAGGGGGCCAUCCCGGCUUACCAACCCGAUGCAAACUGCGAAUACCGGAGAAUGUUAUCACGGGAGACACACGGCGGGUGCUAACGUCCGUCGUGAAGAGGGAAACAACCCAGACCGCCAGCUAAGGUCCCAAAGUCAUGGUUAAGUGGGAAACGAUGUGGGAAGGCCCAGACAGCCAGGAUGUUGGCUUAGAAGCAGCCAUCAUUUAAAGAAAGCGUAAUAGCUCACUGGUCGAGUCGGCCUGCGCGGAAGAUGUAACGGGGCUAAACCAUGCACCGAAGCUGCGGCAGCGAACGUAUCACCCAAGACAACUUUACGGAGUUGACGAUUGACGGAGCGAAGCGACGUCAAAGCGUUCAUUAAAGUCGAGUUGGCUUAGGGAUACGUUCGUUGGGUAGGGGAGCGUUCUGUAAGCCUGUGAAGGUGUGUCGUGAGGCAUGCUGGAGGUAUCAGAAGUGCGAAUGCUGACAUAAGUAACGAUAAAGCGGGUGAAAAGCCCGCUCGCCGGAAGACCAAGGGUUCCUGUCCAACGUUAAUCGGGGCAGGGUGAGUCGACCCCUAAGGCGAGGCCGAAAGGCGUAGUCGAUGGGAAACGGGUUAAUAUUCCCGUACUUGGUGUUACUGCGAAGGGGGGACGGAGAAGGCUAUGUUGGCCGGGCGACGGUUGUCCCGGUUUAAGCGUGUAGGUGUGUGUUCCAGGUAAAUCCGGUUCACUUUAACACUGAGGCGUGACGACGAGGCACUACGGUGCUGAAGCAACAAAUGCCCUGCUUCCAGGAAAAGCCUCUAAGCAUCAGGUAACAUCAAAUCGUACCCCAAACCGACACAGGUGGUCAGGUAGAGAAUACCAAGGCGCUUGAGAGAACUCGGGUGAAGGAACUAGGCAAAAUGGUGCCGUAACUUCGGGAGAAGGCACGCUGACACGUAGGUGAAGUGAUUUACUCAUGGAGCUGAAGUCAGUCGAAGAUACCAGCUGGCUGCAACUGUUUAUUAAAAACACAGCACUGUGCAAACACGAAAGUGGACGUAUACGGUGUGACGCCUGCCCGGUGCCGGAAGGUUAAUUGAUGGGGUCAGCGCAAGCGAAGCUCCUGAUCGAAGCCCCGGUAAACGGCGGCCGUAACUAUAACGGUCCUAAGGUAGCGAAAUUCCUUGUCGGGUAAGUUCCGACCUGCACGAAUGGCGUAAUGAUGGCCAGGCUGUCUCCACCCGAGACUCAGUGAAAUUGAACUCGCUGUGAAGAUGCAGUGUACCCGCGGCAAGACGGAAAGACCCCGUGAACCUUUACUAUAGCUUGACACUGAACAUUGAGCCUUGAUGUGUAGGAUAGGUGGGAGGCUUUGAAGUGUGGACGCCAGUCUGCAUGGAGCCGACCUUGAAAUACCACCCUUUAAUGUUUGAUGUUCUAACGUGGACCCGUAAUCCGGGUUGCGGACAGUGUCUGGUGGGUAGUUUGACUGGGGCGGUCUCCUCCUAAAGAGUAACGGAGGAGCACGAAGGUUGGCUAAUCCUGGUCGGACAUCAGGAGGUUAGUGCAAUGGCAUAAGCCAGCUUGACUGCGAGCGUGACGGCGCGAGCAGGUGCGAAAGCAGGUCAUAGUGAUCCGGUGGUUCUGAAUGGAAGGGCCAUCGCUCAACGGAUAAAAGGUACUCCGGGGAUAACAGGCUGAUACCGCCCAAGAGUUCAUAUCGACGGCGGUGUUUGGCACCUCGAUGUCGGCUCAUCACAUCCUGGGGCUGAAGUAGGUCCCAAGGGUAUGGCUGUUCGCCAUUUAAAGUGGUACGCGAGCUGGGUUUAGAACGUCGUGAGACAGUUCGGUCCCUAUCUGCCGUGGGCGCUGGAGAACUGAGGGGGGCUGCUCCUAGUACGAGAGGACCGGAGUGGACGCAUCACUGGUGUUCGGGUUGUCAUGCCAAUGGCACUGCCCGGUAGCUAAAUGCGGAAGAGAUAAGUGCUGAAAGCAUCUAAGCACGAAACUUGCCCCGAGAUGAGUUCUCCCUGAGACUUAGAGUCUCCUGAAGGAACGUUGAAGACGACGACGUUGAUAGGCCGGGUGUGUAAGCGCAGCGAUGCGUUGAGCUAACCGGUACUAAUGAACCGUGAGGCUUAACCUUACA
rnacentral:rRNA from 1 species